CACGUAGGGUGCGAGCGUUGUCCGGAAUUAUUGGGCGUAAAGAGCUCGUAGGCGGUGUGUCGCGUCGGCCGUGAAAACUUGCAGCUUAACUGUGGGCGUGCGGUCGAUACGGGCAUCACUGGAGUUCGGCAGGGGAGACUGGAAUUCCUGGUGUAGCGGUGAAAUGCGCAGAUAUCAGGAGGAACACCGGUGGCGAAGGCGACUACCUGGCCUGUUCUUGACGCUGAGGCGCGAAAGCUAGGGGAGCAAACGGG
rnacentral:rRNA from 1 species